rnacentral:rRNA from 1 species
UACGGGGGGGCAAGCGUUGUUCGGAAUUACUGGGCGUAAAGGGCUCGUAGGUGGCCAACUAAGUCAGACGUGAAAUCCCUCGGCUUAACCGGGGAACUGCGUCUGAUACUGGAUGGCUGAGUUGGGAGAGGGAUGUGGAAUUCCAGGUGUAGCGGGUGAAAUUCGUAGAUAUUAGCAGGAACACCGGUGGCGAAGGCGGGCAUCUGGCGACUACUGACGCUGAGGCGCGAAAAG